AAAAAAUUCAUUGUCCUAUAAAUUGAAGUGAUAUAAAAGUUUCGACAUUUAGAUCCGCUCACAUCAAAAGAGAGAUAAUUAAGCUGUCAUCGGAUAAGAUUAUUAGAAAAAACCAAAACUCGCAUCAAAGCAAAUAGUACCAAAGUGGAACCUAAACCAUCAAAAUAAAUAUUCCAAGGACAAUUUGGUCGAAAUUAGACAAAUCUCGUACCAGAUUUCUUGCAUUAAGAGAUAAAGCCAAAAGCAUAGGACAAAAAUCAAAUAAGACCGCACAUGACACAGUAAAAUUGUAAUGAAUCGAUUCCAAUGAAAAGAUUUAACGUGGAAGAAUAAUAGCCAAGAGCUCGAAAUUUGAAUUUGCUUGGUCAGUAAACAAGGUGCGUGGCAAUUGAGACCUCUAACCACAAAAACACUUUAAUUAUACUAAAGUUAAAUUGUGGCCAUUCUUUUCUUUUUAAUAAUUUAAAGAACUCCAUUUGAUCUUCGCUUACUCGGCUUGCUCCACUUGCAUGAGCCGAGCGGCCAUCACCAUCAUCGGCUCGAACCAUGGGUUAGACCUUGGGUUAAGAGACCCCAAGCACAUUCAUGGAAUUGGUCCCAACUCCCAAUUUUUUCAAAAAUCUAUGUUUCUUAUAAUAAUAAUAAUAAUAUGAGAUAUUUUAUAUGCCCAUUCUUAAAACAACACUCGUAUGCCAUGCGCAAGUGGAAUUGGAAUAUUGGAUAUAUCAUCUCUCUUAACCUUGAUAUUAAGCUAUAAACACACAUUCUUAAGUGUAGGUGUCCCAUUUUUUUUAAUGCGAAUACACUGGUAAGUCGUACGACUCAAUAAAAUUAAUUUUUAAUAUAAUAUAAAAUUAUGUUGUUAAAUAAUAUUAAAAUUUAACUCUAUUAAAUCGAAUAGUUUAAAAACAUGUUCGCAUUAAAAAAAAAAAAGAGGCACCCGCACUAAAGAACAUAUUCAAAAGAUACACUUUUAAACAUAAUUUUUUAACUAAUUUUUUAACCAAUUGAUUAUAAUUAAUCAAUGAUUGAGGUUAAAACUGACAUGACCUUUUAUAAUUUUAAAAACUAACAAAUUAAUGUAAGGGGUCUCUAAUAAUAAUAAAUUAUUACUCAUUCUUCUCUGCCUCACAUAAUAUAUUUUUCCCAUUAGUACUCUACGUUUCUCAUGUCUUUAAUAUUUAUCUCCAUUCUCUCUUCUAAUUCAACAGACCCCAUCGCGGAACUAUUAUCCAGAAAAAGGUCAGCUUACCAUUGACGGUAAGAAACCAUUAGCAUUAAUAUUAGCUUCAGGUGCAAUAGCAUAGCAAAGAUCACACGGUACAUGCAAUGCUUUUACAGGAUAAAAGCAUUGCGUUAAAAAGUAACCGAAAUUUUCUCUUUUCAAAACUUCAUAUGCCUCAGGAACAAGAAGAGAAGCCAAUACUUUGAAUUAUGUUGAAUCUCCAAUUGGAACCAUCGAAAUCUCCUUCAAAUGAUAUUUUUGGAGUGCAGAAAUUAAAAAGGAGAGAAAACUAAUAAAUCAAAA
rnacentral:lncRNA from 1 species